AAUUGAAUAGCUUAAAUAAAAAAGCAAAGUAUUGAAGAUACUAAGAUGAAUGAAUAUUCUUUGAUUG
rnacentral:tRNA from 1 species